GAUUUUAAUAACUGUUCUACGAUAGAAUUGAAAAACAUGUGCAAAAAAAAAAAAAUGGAGAUUGUGUCAGUGUUGUAAAUGGUUACUACGUAGAAGUUGCAGUGUGCAUGGUAAUUGGAUUUGUUUGGUAUUUUUCGUACAAGAAUACCAUAAAAACUCUUCAAUCAAAGAGUUCUUCUAAUUGGGAACUGAACUUAAAUUCAUCAGAACGAGAAAACAAUUAAGGAUAUAACAACCCAUUAUUCGUAAAAGGUUAUUUGAAUUGUACACAUCAAUGUAAACAGUGUUUAUGAUACUUAUACGUUCGAAUUUUAUUUUUUUAAUUGUUAUUUGGUUAAAAA